rnacentral:rRNA from 1 species
UACGAAGGGGGCUAGCGUUGCUCGGAAUUACUGGGCGUAAAGCGCACGUAGGCGGCUUCUUAAGUCAGGGGUGAAAUCCUGGAGCUCAACUCCAGAACUGCCUUUGAUACUGAGGAGCUUGAGUCCGGGAGAGGUGAGUGGAACUGCGAGUGUAGAGGUGAAAUUCGUAGAUAUUCGCAAGAACACCAGUGGCGAAGGCGGCUCACUGGCCCGGUACUGACGCUGAGGUGCGAAAGCGUGGGGAGCAAACAGGG